rnacentral:rRNA from 1 species
CACGUAGGAGGCGAACGUUAUCCGGAUUUAUUGGGCGUAAAGCGCGUGUAGGUGGUUCUGUAAGUAGGGCGUGAAAGCUCCUGGCUCAACCGGGAGAGGCCGUUCUAUACUGCAGAGCUAGAGGAUGGUAGAGGGAGGUGGAAUUCCAGGUGUAGCGGUGAAAUGCGUAGAUAUCUGGAGGAACACCGGUGGCGAAAGCGGCUUUCUGGCGCAUAACUGACGCUGAGGCUCGAAAGCGUGGGGAGCGAACGGGAUUAGAUACCCGCGUAGU